rnacentral:rRNA from 1 species
AUUACUAAGCGGAGGAAAAGAAACUAACUAGGAUUCCCUCAGUAGCUGCGAGCGAACAGGGAAGAGCCCAGCACCGAAUCCCGCGGCCGAUACCGGGCGCCGGGAAAUGUGGUGUUAGGGAGGAUCCGUUUAUCCCGAGGUCGUGCGGUGCGUCCAAGUCCUUCUUGAACGGGGCCACAGCCCAUAGAGGGUGCCAGGCCCGUAGCGACCGCUGCCGAUCGCGGGAGGAUCUCUCCUCAGAGUCGGGUUGCUUGAGAGUGCAGCCCUAAGUGGGUGGUAAACUCCAUCUAAGGCUAAAUAUGACCACGAGACCGAUAGCGAACAAGUACCGUGAGGGAAAGUUGAAAAGCACUUUGAAGAGAGAGUUCAAGAGUACGUGAAACCGUUCAGGGGUAAACCUGAGAAACCCGAAAGGUCGAAAGGGGAAAUUCAUUCGCGUCUCGACCGUCGGAGCGGAGCGUUCGUGCGACGGACGGCGUACGCGUCGUCCGCGCCUUUCGUUCCGCGAUCCGGCGUCGAACGCGUGCACUUUUCCCCUAGUAGGACGUCGCGAUCCGUUGGGUGUCGGUCUAAGGCUCGCGGUGGAGCCCGAGCGUGCGUCUUCGGACGUUCGCGCUCGGACCCGCGGUGUCCCGGCCGACCCGCUCGACGGUAUACAGAUGGCGCGGGGCCGCAAAUUCAAUUUGCGUUCGGCCCGCGGCAAGCGCGUACGGUGUUGACGGCGAUCGGACCCGGUGCCGAUCCCGUCCCCGGACGACUGUUGGCCGCGGUGCUCUCGAACAGACCUCGUUCUCGAAACGCCGAUCUGCGACGCUAUAGCUUUGGGUACUUUCAGG